rnacentral:rRNA from 1 species
UACGUAGGGUGCGAGCGUUGUCCGGAAUUAUUGGGCGUAAAGGGCUCGUAGGCGGUUCGUCACGUCAGGAGUGAAAACUCGGGGCUUAACCCCGAGCCUGCUUCCGAUACGGGCAGACUAGAGGUAGGCAGGGGAGAGCGGAACUCCUGGUGUAGAGGUGAAAUUCGUAGAUAUCAGGAGGAACACCGGUGGCGAAGGCGGCCACCUGGACGAUUACUGACGCUGAGACGCGAAAGCGUGGGGAGCAAACAGG